CUCAUUAUGGCAGCAGAUAAAGGAGCUUGAAAUCACCAGCUGGCCUGGAUUUCCUAGUACUCCAAAUAGGCUGUCCUGAAACGUCCAGUGUCUCCCAGUUGGAAAUGGCCAGUGUUGGAGACAAUUAUUAAGCACAUAGUAGACCCUGAUACUGCGUUAGCUGCUCUGCAUCAUGGUACAUUCAAAGACGUGGCCCGUGCCUUCAUGGAGCUGUGCAGUACGUAGCAGCGGCCAUGGAGGGGGCCAGGCAGAACCUUGCCUUCUUCCACAAACUAUGAGAAAAAAAAAAGAAAGAAAGAAAGAAAGAAAAGAUGCAAGGAGAAAAACGUCAAGUAAUAACCUAAAGCCUGAGGGAAGUCUGCCACUCGCACAAGAACUUGGAGCAAGCAUGUUUUGGAGGGAAUUGAAGGAGAGCUGGGUUUUAUAUCUGAGUUGAUGUGGCAUCAAGCUGAAAGCAUGGGUGGAGGGAAGCGAGAAGCCGGAUCCAGUAACUAUACAAUGACUUUGUAGAAAUCUUUCGGAGGAAUCUUUUGGGAGUCCUAGACAAUCACAGCCAUUCUCAGGGGCUCAUCAUGGAGUAACGCUGAUUACAGUUUCUACAGAGUGAAGCACCCAGCAACUUGAUGAUCCCCAACAACCAGUAGAGGAAUCUCUCGUCCUAAGGUCCCACUCCUCCAGGAAGCUACUUUGCAUUUUCUCCCCUGCCUCAUUCUCACUUUCUGCGAUGCCUCCUUCCUCUUCAUUUUUGCCUGAUCCUGUCUAGAGUGAUUUGGCUUUUGCCAUCCUUCUGUCUACUCUCUCUGUCAAAGACCUGGAAACAGACACAAUGAUCAAACAAUCAUUCCUUUUGGGAGAGUGGGAGGUAGGGUGCCGAAGAGGUAGACUGCAAAUCUUUAUGGUUUGAUAUAUUUGUACACCUGUCUCCCUUUCAUAUGUGCAAACACAUAUAGGUCUUAUCAGAACCUCUA